rnacentral:rRNA from 1 species
AGAAUGAACGCUGGCGGCAUGCCUAACACAUGCAAGUCGAACGAAGCCUUCGGGUUUAGUGGCGCACGGGUGCGUAACGCGUGGGAAUCUACCCCUUGGUUCGGAAUAACAGUUGGAAACGACUGCUAAUACCGGAUGAUGACGUAAGUCCAAAGAUUUAUCGCCGAGGGAUGAGCCCGCGUAGGAUUAGGUAGUUGGUGUGGUAAAGGCGCACCAAGCCGACGAUCCUUAGCUGGUCUGAGAGGAUGAUCAGCCACACUGGGACUGAGACACGGCCCAGACUCCUACGGGAGGCAGCAGUGGGGAAUAUUGGACAAUGGGCGAAAGCCUGAUCCAGCAAUGCCGCGUGAGUGAUGAAGGCCUUAGGGUUGUAAAGCCCUUUUGUUGGGAAGAAUUGUACGGUUGAAUACUCCGUGCGGAUGACGGUACCAAGAAUAAGCACCGGCUAACUUCGCGCCAGCAGCCGC